rnacentral:rRNA from 1 species
GACGAACGCUGGCGGCGUGCCUAAUACAUGCAAGUCGAGCGGACAGAAGGGAGCUUGCUCCCGGAAGUUAGCGGCGGACGGGUGAGUAACACGUGGGCAACCUACCCUGUAGAUCGGGAUAACAUCGAGAAAUAGGUGCUAAUACCGGAUAAUCAUUUGAAGUGCAUGCUUCGAAUGUAAAAGAUGGCCCCGGCUAUCACUACGGGAUGGGCCCGCGGCGCAUUAGCUAGUUGGUAAGGUAAUGGCUUACCAAGGCAACGAUGCGUAGCCGACCUGAGAGGGUGAUCGGCCAACCUGGGACUGAGACACGGCCCAGACUCCUACGGGAGGCAGCAGUAGGGAAUCUUCCGCAAUGGACGAAAGUCUGACGGAGCAACGCCGCGUGAGUGAUGAAGGUUUUCGGAUCGUAAAGCUCUGUUGUUAGGGAAGAACAAGUGCCGUUUGAAUAAGGCGGCACCUUGACGGUACCUAACCAGAAAGCCACGGCUAACUACGUGCCAGCCGCCGCAGUAAAAC